rnacentral:rRNA from 1 species
ACGGAAGGCAGCAGUGGGGAAUAUUGCACAAUGGGCGAAAGCCUGAUGCAGCGACGCCGCGUGAGUGAAGAAGUAUCUCGGUAUGUAAAACUCUAUCAGCAGGGAAGAAAAUGACGGUACCUGACUAAGAAGCCCCGGCUAACUACGUGCCAGCAGCCGCGGUAAUACGUAGGGGGCAAGCGUUAUCCGGAUUUACUGGGUGUAAAGGGAGCGUAGACGGUUUGGCAAGUCUGAAGUGAAAUGCGGGGGCUCAACUCCUGAACUGCUUUGGAAACUGUCGAACUAGAGUGCAGGAGAGGUAAGUGGAAUUCCUAGUGUAGCGGUGAAAUGCGUAGAUAUUAGGAGGAACACCAGUGGCGAAGGCGGCUUACUGGACUGUAACUGACGUUGAGGCUCGAAAGCGUGGGGAGCAAACAGGAUUAGAUACCCUGGUA